rnacentral:rRNA from 1 species
GUGGGGAAUAUUGGACAAUGGGGGGAACCCUGAUCCAGCCAUGCCGCGUGUGUGAAGAAGGCCUUUUGGUUGUAAAGCACUUUAAGCGAGGAGGAGGCUACCGAGAUUAAUACUCUUGGAUAGUGGACGUUACUCGCAGAAUAAGCACCGGCUAACUCUGUGCCAGCAGCCGCGGUAAUACAGAGGGUGCAAGCGUUAAUCGGAUUUACUGGGCGUAACGCGCGUGUAGGUGGCCAAUUAAGUCAAAUGUGAAUUCCCCGAGCUUAACUUGGGAAUUGCAUUCGAUACUGGUUGGCUAGAGUAUGGGAGAGGAUGGUAGAAUUCCAGGUGUAGCGGUGAAAUGCGUAGAGAUCUGGAGGAAUACCGAUGGCGAAGGCAGCCAUCUGGCCUAAUACUGACACUGAGGUGCGAAAGCAUGGGGAGCAAACAGGAUUAGAUACCCUUGUAGGCC